GAUAUCAGUCAUGCAUAGCAUAUCAAUAAGGGAGGAAAAGAAACUAACAAGGAUUCCCCUAGUAACGGCGAGUGAAGCGGGAAGAGCUCAAAUUUGAAAUCUUCAAGGUUCUACCUUGACGAAUUGUAGUUUAUAGAAGUGUUUUCUGUUAGUAGAGUGGCAAAAGUUCUUUGGAAUAGGACAUCAUAGAGGGUGAGUAAUCCCGUAUUUGGUCAUUCCUCCUAGCUUUGUGAUACACUUUCAACGAGUCGGAUUGUUUGGGAAUGCAGUCCAAAAUGGGUGGUAAAUUUCAUCUAAAGCUAAAUAUUGGCGAGAGACCGAUAGCGAACAAGUACCGUGAGGGAAAGAUGAAAAGAACUUUGAAAAGAGAGUUAAACAGUACGUGAAAUUGUCAAAGAGGGAAGCGUUUGACACCAGUGUUGUUUUUCCGAAAAUCAAUUACGAAUGUUUUGUUUUUGAGGAGUUAUGACUUCACCGACUUGCUCCUUUCUUUACGAAACUUUCUUAAUGCACUUUUCGGUUAACAAGUCAACAUCAAUUUCUUUUGUUGUAAAAGGGUCAUUGGAAGGUGGCUUUCUUUUCGGAGAAAGUGUUUAUAGCCUUUGGCCUCUGCAAUCGGAGAGAUUGAGGUCUGCAGCGUAGAUCCUUCGGGGUUAGAUGCAUUUGUGCUAAGUUAUAGCCUUUCAUAGACAACUUGUUGACUAUGAUCAGUCAUGUAGCUUACUCGCUUAUGCUAUUUUACCUACGCUUAGGAUGUUGAUCUCUCACAGUCGAGC
rnacentral:rRNA from 1 species